UACGAAGGGGGCUAGCGUUGCUCGGAAUUACUGGGCGUAAAGCGCACGUAGGCGGCUUUCUAAGUCGGAGGUGAAAUCCUGGAGCUCAACUCCAGAACUGCCUUCGAUACUGGAGAGCUUGAGUCCGGGAGAGGUGAGUGGAACUGCGAGUGUAGAGGUGAAAUUCGUAGAUAUUCGCAAGAACACCAGUGGCGAAGGCGGCUCACUGGCCCGGUACUGACGCUGAGGUGCGAAAGCGUGGGGAGUAAACAGG
rnacentral:rRNA from 1 species